ACGGGUGAGUAACAUGUGGGUAACCUGCCCAUAAGACUGGGAUAACUCCGGGAAACCGGGGCUAAUACCGGAUAACAUUUUGCACCGCAUGGUGCGAAAUUGAAAGGCGGCUUCGGCUGUCACUUAUGGAUGGACCCGCGUCGCAUUAGCUAGUUGGUGAGGUAACGGCUCACCAAGGCAACGAUGCGUAGCCGACCUGAGAGGGGAUCGGCCACACUGGGACUGAGACACGGCCCCCACACUAAAUACGGGAGGCAGCAGUAGGGAAUCUUCCGCAAUGGACGAAAGUCUGACGGAGCAACGCCGCGUGAGUGAUGAAGGCUUUCGGGUCGUAAAACUCUGUUGUUAGGGAAGAACAAGUGCUAGUUGAAUAAGCUGGCACCUUGACGGUACCUAACCAGAAAGCCACGGCUAACUACGUGCCAGCAGCCGCGGUAAUACGUAGGUGGCAAGCGUUAUCCGGAAUUAUUGGGCGUAAAGCGCGCGCAGGUGGUUUCUUAAGUCUGAUGUGAAAGCCCACGGCUCAACCGUGGAGGGUCAUUGGAAACUGGGAGACUUGAGUG
rnacentral:rRNA from 1 species